UCAGUCGAAAUUAGUUCUUUGAAUGCACCGGACGCGGUCGAAGCACGAGCUUUGUGUUGUAUUUAAAAUCGCCCUUAUUUGGCCGGCAUUUUACGCGCGCUCUGUAUUUACAAUUUUCUGCAAGCGACGCGUGCAACAGGACGUAAACAAAACGCAACGAGCCACAUCAAACGGAUUUAAUCGAAGUACAAAUUAGACGAGUUACAGCAAACAAAAAAGUAAACACAAAAACCGGUUGCAAAAAUAAAACAACAUCACAACAACAGCAACAACAAUAAUAAGCAGUAGCAACAGGU